rnacentral:rRNA from 1 species
UACGUAGGGUGCAAGCGUUGUCCGGAAUUAUUGGGCGUAAAGAGCUCGUAGGCGGUUCGUCGCGUCGGCUGUGAAAUCCCGGGGCUCAACCCCGGGCCGGCAGUCGAUACGGGCGGACUGGAGUUCGGCAGGGGAGACUGGAAUUCCUGGUGUAGCGGUGAAAUGCGCAGAUAUCAGGAGGAACACCGGUGGCGAAGGCGGGUCUCUGGGCCGAUACUGACGCUGAGGAGCGAAAGCGUGGGGAGCAAACAGG